rnacentral:rRNA from 1 species
CUCUGGGACAAGCCCUGGAAACGGGGUCUAAUACCGGAUAAUACUCCUGCCUGCAUGGGCGGGGGUUGAAAGCUCCGGCGGUGAAGGAUGAGCCCGCGGCCUAUCAGCUUGUUGGUGGGGUAAUGGCCCACCAAGGCGACGACGGGUAGCCGGCCUGAGAGGGCGACCGGCCACACUGGGACUGAGACACGGCCCAGACUCCUACGGGAGGCAGCAGUGGGGAAUAUUGCACAAUGGGCGAAAGCCUGAUGCAGCGACGCCGCGUGAGGGAUGACGGCCUUCGGGUUGUAAACCUCUUUCAGCAGGGAAGAAGCGAAAGUGACGGUACCUGCAGAAGAAGCGCCGGCUAACUACGUGCCAGCAGCCGCGGUAAUACGUAGGGCGCAAGCGUUGUCCGGAAUUAUUGGGCGUAAAGAGCUCGUAGGCGGCUUGUCACGUCGGAUGUGAAAGCCCGAGGCUUAACCUCGGGUCUGCAUUCGAUACGGGCUAGCUAGAGUGUGGUAGGGGAGAUCGGAAUUCCUGGUGUAGCGGUGAAAUGCGCAGAUAUCAGGAGGAACACCGGUGGCGAAGGCGGAUCUCUGGGCCAUUACUGACGCUGAGGAGCGAAAGCGUGGGGAGCGAACAGGAUUAGAUACCCUGGUAGUCCACGCCGUAAACGUUGGGAACUAGGUGUUGGCGACAUUCCACGUCGUCGGUGCCGCAGCUAACGCAUUAAGUUCCCCGCCUGGGGAGUACGGCCGCAAGGCUAAAACUCAA